GACUUGGUGUUGUGCUUCUAUAUGAAUGAGUGAUUCCCACCUGGAAUUCGCCAUUCCAAGUUGGGAAAGUUGUGUUUCGGGAACCCAUUUUUCUCAAUUGUUUUCAAAACCCAAGUUUGCAUAACCCAAGAUAGCUCCACUAUUUGAAGAAAUUUUUUCCUUUUCAUGCACUAUAUACUGUUUAUAAUUGCAUUUUUGAAAUUACCCAUCCAUGCAUCUUGUUAGCAACCAUCACCUCCAUGUCAUCGGAAGUUGCGCUUUUAAUAAACGCAAAAUCUAAAACUUAAAAGUUAUCAAAUUUGCAAAACCCAUAGAACACCCGACCCGAUGAACUUUGAAAUUUGGGGAAACUCUCUGUCACUUCCUCUCAUUUUGCCCUAACCCGAUCUACAUUUUCAUGGCUCGUUUGCUCUGCAUUUUCAUAACUCUGUUAUUUCCUCUCAUUUCGUCUCAUUUUGGCCUAACCCUAGUGUCUCUUUUCACGAGCUGACCACCCAAACCCGAUAGCCAUCUUCCGAAAACCUUCAAUGAAGCCAAAGUUGAGCCAUAUCUUCAUAUUUCUUCAUCAAAGGUGGAAUAUUUUGAAGGUUUCUAGAAACUUAAGUGGAGCUUCCUCUUCCUUUUGGAUUAAUUGCAGGAGAUCAAGUCUAACCAGACCGGGACAAUCAAUAAGAAAAGAGAGGACAAUAACAGUGCUGGUGGGAGACAACUUUCUGAUGGACAAAAAAAUUAGUCUAAUGUUUUUGGAGAAGUUCCUCUGAGUUCACCAAUCCUCGGAAAUCUUCGAGCCAGUCCUAGAAAGAUCUCUCAUUCAAGAGAAUUAUACUACAUCAUACUGGUGAGCAGCUUGGAUUGGUCUAAAAUCAAAACCAAAUCUAUUGUGGUUGGUGGAUGCAGGAGGAUGUGUGCUUCUUGAUGCUUUUGUAUCCAUACUUGUGUAAUUUUUUCAAUAUUUGAACUUAUUAUGUUUGAUUUUUCAGCAUUGGGUGGUUUCAUUUCUCUAGGAUAACUGAAACCUCUCGCCAUUGAGUAGCAGUGUCUUGCGUCGUCUAGUUAAGGAGUGAGAAGAAUCAACCAUUCAUCCUCAUUUGUGACUGUCUUUUCAAACCCUCUUGGAUGAGGGUUAAAAGAGUCUCAUUCCCCAAAUGAGUUCUCCACAGACAUGAUACUUAUUUCUCUUUGUUCUGUAAAUGUCCUGACCAAUUGUAUAUUACUAUACUAAUUUUUAUUUGUUCUGGAAAAUUUUAUAAAAAUUGCAUAUUACUAUUCAAGGUGUGUAAUAUAAGCUAAGAUUAUGUAUACAUGUGCUGGUACAAUGAAAAAUGAACAUAUAUGCAUAUUUAUGGAGGAAACCAUGAAAACUGUGAAUGGAUAAAUGAAUAUACUAUGUUGAGAUAUGGAAUAUUUUAGUGCGAGAAAUCAUUUAUGUGAGCGACUCUGGAUGAAUGCUCAAGAUCAUAUCUGGGAUCAAGGAUGAUCUAACAAAUGUCAUGACUAUUUGUCAAAUCUAGGGAUCAGAUCAGUCUUCUUUCUAUUUAGGUUCAUAUGUUGUAAUGGCC